AGUGAACGCUGGCGGUAGGCCUAACACAUGCAAGUCGAACGGCAGCACAGUAAUAUCUUUCUCUUACGGGUGGCGAGUGGCGUACGGGUGAGUUAUACAUCGGAAUCUUCUUUUUCGUGUGUGUUUACGUAGGUAAACUUACGCUAAUACCGCAUACUUCCUUCCGUUGAAAGCAUUGGUUCUUCUUACCUUUCGCGUUUCUUUUAGCCGAUGUCGGAUUUGCUAGUUGGCUGGGUAAAGGCCCACCAAGGCGACGAUCCGUAGCUGGUCUGAGAGGAUGAUAAGCGACACUGGAAGUGAGACACGGAACAGAGGACUACGGGAGGCAGCAGUGGGGAAUAUUGGACAAUGGGCGAAAGCAUGAUACAGCAAGACCGAGUGGGUGAAGAAGGACUUCGGGUUGUAAAGCCCUUUUGUUGGGAAAGAAAAGAAGCAGGAUAAAACAACGAUGUAGUGACGGUAACAAAAGAAUAAGCAACGGCUAACUACGUG
rnacentral:rRNA from 1 species